UCCAUGCAAAGAAGAUGUUUCUGCUGCAGCCACACCUAAGUCAAGGGGUUUGGUUUCUACAUUGAGAGUCAUUAAUCAUUUCAUUUAUAAAAAGACUAGUGCCUGCCAUUCGAGAUCUUAGUGGAUGGUCUGAUCACUUAGAGAGAAGAGGAAAGUUUCUGCUCAAAAAUGGCAAGGAGAUUCACACAGACAGGACAAGAAAUAACAAAGAAAGACUUGAGAACCUCCAGCUUUUAUACUUCCUCAA